rnacentral:lncRNA from 1 species
AGGGAUCAGCGCUUCCAGACGUCUCUGGGAGGCUUCCAAACUGUAACCUGUGAGGAACCAGCUAGGAGAGGCAGUGCUCUGAUCAGAAACUGGAGUGGUAUUCUCUCCUUUCCAGGUUCUGAGUUCUGGAGAGCUAAGGAAGAGGACAAGAAAACCACUAUGCCCAGGUGUGUGACUUUGGAAAAUAGAGAGAGGAAAUCGAGCUUCAGUGGGGUCACUUGGUCAGGAUCUCUCAAAGUGUUAAGUGGCGGAGCUGAACUAUGACGCUGGGUAAGUCUGACUUCAAUAGCAGCAAUCUCUCUCCCUCACACCUGGUGGGUGUGACUCCUUAUUCCAGCAAACUAAGUGUAUCUUCAUCAAGUAUCUCAAAAAGAGUAAUUUGGAGCAAAUAAGCGAGCUCAUAGAUAACAGGAUCUUAAAGCUGACUGUUUUGUCCCAGAAAUCUCAAUUUUAGGAAUCUAUCCUAAAAA